rnacentral:misc_RNA from 1 species
UAUAAGCCCACGCACUAUCAUCACUCGGUUAGAUGAGGCAGGAAAUGCACCCCCAAUAUUCCAGCAAGCAGCAACUCGUCAAAGGUUUCUCAAUUUCUUCAUAGCCUUUACCCAAUCGGUUCUGGCCACUCUGGCUGGAUCUACUUAAGACGUAUGGCGAAGCCCCAAUAAAUGCCAGGUGAUUUUUAAAAAAAGAUUUUAAUAUUAUAAUUAAAAAAAAAUCAAUAAAUGCUUAGAAAUUAUACACAGGCAACCAACGCUGGCAUGAAUUUUUACGGCAGGGCCC